rnacentral:rRNA from 1 species
GGCGAUCAGAUACCGCCCUAGUUCUGACCGUAAACGAUGCCAUCUCGCGAUUCGGAGGGUUUUUGCCCUGCCGAGGAGCUAUCCGGAAACGAAAGUCUUUCGGUUCCGGGGGUAGUAUGGUUGCAAAGCUGAAACUUAAAGAAAUUGACGGAAGGGCACCACAAGGCGUGGAGCUUGCGGCUUAAUUUGACUCAACACGGGAAAACUCACCCGGUCCGGACACCAUUAGGACUGACAGAUUGAAAGCUCUUUCUCGAUUUGGUGGUUGGUGGUGCAUGGCCGUUCUUAGUUGGUGGAGUGAUUUGUCUGGUUUAUUCCGAUAACGAGCGAGACUCUAGCCUGCUAAAUAGUUGGCGAAUCUUCGGGUUCGUAUAACUUCUUAGAGGGAUAAGCGGUGUUUAGCCGCACGAGAUUGAGCGAUAACAGGUCUGUGAUGCCCUUAGAUGUCCGGGGCUGCACGCGUGCUACACUGGUGGAGUCAGCGGGUUUUUCCUAUGCCGAAAGGUAUCGGUAAACCGUUGAAAUUCUUCCAUGUCCGGGAUAGGGUAUUGUAAUUAUUGCCCUUAAACGAGGAAUGCCUAGUAAGUGUGAGUCAUCAGCUCACGUUGAUUACGUCCCUGCCCUUUGUA